rnacentral:rRNA from 1 species
AAAUUGAAGAGUUUGAUCAUGGCUCAGAUUGAACGCUGGCGGCAGGCCUAACACAUGCAAGUCGAACGGUAACAGAAAGCAGCUUGCUGCUUUGCUGACGAGUGGCGGACGGGUGAGUAAUGUCUGGGAAACUGCCCGAUGGAGGGGGAUAACUACUGGAAACGGUAGCUAAUACCGCAUAACGUCGCAAGAUCAAAGAGGGGGACCUUCGGGCCUCUUGCCAUCGGAUGUGCCCAGAUGGGAUUAGCUAGUAGGUGGGGUAA